rnacentral:rRNA from 1 species
UACGGGGGGGGCAAGCGUUGUUCGGAAUUACUGGGCGUAAAGGGCUCGUAGGUGGCCAACUAAGUCAGACGUGAAAUCCCUCAGCUUAACUGGGGAACUGCGUCUGAUACUGGAUGGCUUGAGUUUGGGAGAGGGAUGCGGAAUUCCAGGUGUAGCGGUGAAAUGCGUAGAUAUCUGGAGGAACACCGGUGUCGAAGGCGGCAUCCUGGACCAACACUGACACUGAUGAGCGAAAUCCAAGUUAGCAAACUGU